CGGGACCCGGAGGCGGUGGUGGUGGGUCCCUGCACCAUGUUUUAAAUGACUGAUUUGAGAUACUUCUCUGCCAGAAGAGAGGGAAGCACAGUUCAUGCAGAGAAAUGGGGAGUGAAGAAAGGAGGCCAGAUUCGGGCAGGUAUGCUCUGGGCACUGAGGGCAAAAUGGUGAGAAGACCAAGAUAGUCCCUGUUCUCCUGGAUCUUACAGUCUGGUGAGGGAGACAGACAUUGAUGAAAAUCAAAGCAUCAUGAAAUGCAAAAAUAGAGCUGCUGUGAGGAGCGGAGCUGGACGUGGUGC